GGAUCAAACAAGCAUAAACCCAA
rnacentral:siRNA from 1 species